AACAAAGUGUAGAAAAAGCCGUAUACAUAAGGCAGUCCGUUCCACACAUACAUAGAGCCGCCGCGAUCAGCUGUUAACGUCGAUCGAAGACUUUGCCCAGGACUUACCGGCAACGCAGACUUCCCUAGGGAUACGCGCAGGGGAAAAAACGACAGGUUAGGUCGUUUUUUUUUUGUUGGGGAAUUUUGGAAUUUGAGAUUUUCAGAAUUUAGGCAUCUGGAAAAUUUGGGGACUUGAAAUGGAAGCCUACGUUGCACCCCGAAGUACCGUUCCACGUGUCGUCACGUUGGUUUAAAGGAAAACGACGAAAGAAAAACAGAUGAUGGACCAUUUCCAUUCGUGGACAUUACUCAACAAACACUCGCGCCAAAACUGUCCGUCCCGCUUUGCACGUAACUGCCACGCAAGCUCUGACAUGUAGAUGAAAAAUCCCUAUGCGUCUUUUCUAACGGACGUUCUUAUCCGUAGUAUCACUUAUCCGUUUCUGACAUCUCGAAACAUUGUUGCCUAUUAAUUUCUUAAA